rnacentral:rRNA from 1 species
AGCGGCGAACGGGUGAGUAACACGUGAGUAAUCUGCCCUUCACUCUGGGAUAACGUUCAGAAAUGGAUGCUAAUACCGGAUUUACACAUGGUCUCGCAUGGGGUUGUGUGGAAAGGUUUUCUGGUGGGGGAUGUGCUCGCGGCCUAUCAGCUUGUUGGUGGGGUAAUGGCCUACCAAGGCUUUGACGGGUAGCCGGCCUGAGAGGGUGACCGGCCACACUGGGACUGAGACACGGCCCAGACUCCUACGGGAGGCAGCAGUGGGGAAUAUUGGACAAUGGGCGGAAGCCUGAUCCAGCAACGCCGCGUGAGGGAUGACGGCCUUCGGGUUGUAAACCUCUUUCACCAUUGACGAAGCUGCAUCUUUUUGGGUGUGGUGACGGUAGGUGGGGAAGAAGCACCGGCCAACUACGUGCCAGCAGCCGCGGUAAUACGUAGGGUGCGAGCGUUGUCCGGAAUUAUUGGGCGUAAAGGGCUCGUAGGCGGUUUGUCGCGUCGGGAGUGAAAACCUUGGGCUUAACUCAGGGCUUGCUUUCGAUACGGGCAGACUAGAGGUAUGCAGGGGAGAACGGAAUUCCUGGUGUAGCGGUGGAAUGCGCAGAUAUCAGGAGGAACACCGGUGGCGAAGGCGGUUCUCUGGGCAUUACCUGACGCUGAGGAGCGAAAGUGUGGGGAGCGAACAGGAUUAGAUACCCUGGUAGUCCACACCGUAAACGUUGGGCGCUAGGUGUGGGACUCAUUCCACGAGUUCCGUGCCGCAGCUAACGCAUUAAGC